rnacentral:rRNA from 1 species
UGGGGAAUUUUGGACAAUGGGCGAAAGCCUGAUCCAGCAAUGCCGCGUGUGUGAAGAAGGCCUUCGGGUUGUAAAGCACUUUUGUCCGGAAAGAAAUCCUUGGCUCUAAUAUAGUCGGGGGAUGACGGUACCGGAAGAAUAAGCACCGGCUAACUACGUGCCAGCAGCCGCGGUAAUACGUAGGGUGCAAGCGUUAAUCGGAAUUACUGGGCGUAAAGCGUGUGCAGGCGGUUUGCUAAGACCGAUGUGAAAUCCCCGGGCUCAACCUGGGAACUGCAUUGGUGACUGGCAGGCUAGAGUAUGGCAGAGGGGGGUAGAAUUCCACGUGUAGCAGUGAAAUGCGUAGAGAUGUGGAGGAAUACCGAUGGCGAAGGCAGCCCCCUGGGCCAAUACUGACGCUCAUGCACGAAAGCGUGGGGAGCAAAACAGGAUUAGAUACCCUGGUAGUCCACGCCCUAAAACGAUGUCAACUAGUUGUUGGGGAUUCAUUUCCUUAGUAACGUAGCUAACGCGUGAAGUUGACCGCCUGGGGAGUACGGUCGCAAGAUUAAAACUUAAAUGAAUUGACGGGGUCAUAGCUGUUUCCU